CGACGAAAAGACAGAUAAGAUAACAAAAAAACGUGUCAGGGGCAACACUAUCAUAAUAGUAUUCAUAAUCUUCACUAUAAUAAUUGCAAAUUACGCGUAGAGUGAAGGGAGCGAAGGAUGAACAUGAAGGUAAUGGUGGCAAUAGAUGAGAGUGAAGGAAGUUUCUAUGCACUUAAUUGGACCCUCGAUAACCUCUUCACUAAUAAAGCUAUUGAAUCAGAGAAUGAAGGGAAGGUUUUUCUGGUUCAUGUUCAACACAAAGUUCACAAUUAUGUGUAUCCGGUCCCUGUUGGACCCGGUGGAGCUGUAUUUUACCCUGCACCUGUAGUUGCUGAUUCUGUGCGGAAGGCCCAAGAAGAAAUAUCAGCAUCCGUUAUCUCACGAGCAUUGCAGAGUUGCAAGGAUAAGCUGGACUUAUUUGUCUCCUCCAACAAAGA
rnacentral:lncRNA from 1 species